rnacentral:rRNA from 1 species
UACGAGUGCCCUAAGCGUUAUCCGGAAUCAUUGGGCGUAAAGGGUGUGUAGGUGGUUGUGUUAGUCUUCUGUUAAAUUCUUCGGCUUAACCGGGGGCAUGCAGGGGAAACGGCACAACUAGAGGAUGCGAGAGGCACAUGGAACUCAUGGAGUAGGGGUGAAAUCCGUUGAUAUCAUGGGGAACACCGAAAGCGAAGGCAAUGUGCUGGCGCACUCCUGACACUGAAACACGAAAGCGUAGGUAGCGAAUGGG